UACAGAGGGUGCGAGCGUUGUCCGGAAUCACUGGGCGUAAAGGGCGUGUAGGCGGCUUGCUAAGCCGCGUGUGAAAGCCCCGGGCUCAACCUGGGAAUGGCAAUGGAUACUGGCGAGCUAGAGUGUGUCAGAGGAUGGUGGAAUUCCCGGUGUAGCGGUGAAAUGCGUAGAGAUCGGGAGGAACAUCAGUGGCGAAGGCGGCCAUCUGGGACAACACUGACGCUGAGGCACGAAAGCGUGGGGAGCAAACAGG
rnacentral:rRNA from 1 species